UACGGAGGGUGCAAGCGUUAUCCGGAUUUACUGGGUUUAAAGGGUGUGUAGGCGGACUUUUAAGUCAGCGGUGAAAUCUCCGGGCUCAACCCGGAAACUGCCAUUGAUACUAUUGGUCUUGAAUGCUGUUGAGGUGGGCGGAACGGGUCAUGUAGCGGUGAAAUGCAUAGAUAUGACCCGGAACACCGAUUGCGAAGGCAGCCCACUAAGCAACGAUUGACGCUGAGGCACGAAAGCGUGGGGAUCAAACAGG
rnacentral:rRNA from 1 species